rnacentral:misc_RNA from 1 species
GAUGAAGAACGUAGCGAAAUGCGAUACGUAAUGUGAAUUGCAGAAUUCAGUGAAUCAUCGAAUCUUUGAACGCAUAUUGCGCUCUUUGGUAUUCCGAAGAGCAUGCUUGUUUGAGUAUCAGUAAACACCUCAAAGCUUUUGGAUUUUUUAAUCGAAAAGCUUUGGACUUGAGCAAUCCCAACACCAAUCUUUUUGAGAUCGGUGGCGGGUUGCUUGAAAUGCAGGUGCAGCUGGACAUUCUCCUGAGCUAAAAGCAUAUUCAUUUAGUCCCGUCAAACGGAUUAUUACUUUUGCUGCAGCUAACAUAAAGGGAGUUUGACCGUAUUGGCUGACUGAUGCAGGAUUUCACAAGGGUCGGCAACGAUUCUUGUUAAACUCGAUCUCAAAUCAAGUAAGACUACCCGCUGAACUUAAGGAUAUCAAUAAGCGGAGGA